rnacentral:rRNA from 1 species
CUACGGGACGCUGCAGUGGCGAAUUUUGCGCAAUGGGGGAAACCCUGACGCAGCGAUACCGCGUGAGUGAAGAAGGCCUUUGGGUCGUAAAGCUCUUUUCUAAGGGAAGAUAGUGACGGUACCUUAGGAAUAAGCGCCGGCUAACUCCGUGCCAGCAGCCGCGGUAAUACGGAGGGCGCGAGCGUUGUUCGGAUUUACUGGGCGUAAAGGGCGCGUAGGCGGCCUGGCAAGUUAAGGGUGAAAUCCCGGGGCUUAACCCCGGAACUGCUCUUAAAACUGCCAAGCUAGAGAUGGCCAGAGGCGGGUGGAAUUCCAGGUGUAGAGGUGAAAUUCGUAGAUAUCUGGAGGAACACCGGUGGCGAAGGCGGCCCGCUGGGGCCAUUCUGACGCUGAGGCGCGAAAGCGUGGGGAGCGAACGGGAUUAGAUACCCUGGUAGUC